AGAGGCUACUCAGAUGGCACCCUUGUUCUCUUCAUGGAUCACUUCCGUAGCUUUCGGGAUCAGAAGGAAAACCAACGUGAACUUCUCAGCAUGAUUGAACAAAGGCUAAAACACCACAAGAAAUACUCUACGUCAGUGAGCCUUGGGCACACCCUUGAAGUCCUGCUGUUCGUACAAGGGCAGGAGAUACUCUUGCAGGUCCUUCCCGCCUUUGAUCCUCUAUCAGGCUUUGGUGAGAACUGCAGCUUCUGGAUCUAUCGGGAUCUCAAAAGAUCCAUGGAUCAAGUAGGAGCAGCGCCCGGUGAGUUCGCAGCCUGCUUCACCACGUUACAGCAGCAGUUCUUCCAGCGGUAUCCCAGGAGAGUGAGGGAGCUGAUCCUGUUGGUCAAGCACUGGUACCAGGAGUGCCAGAAGAAGUGGAUGACUCCCCCAUCUCCGCGGUUCUCCUACGCCCUGGAGUUGCUCACUGUGUAUGCCUGGGAACAGGGCUGCCAAGAUGAGGACUUUGACAUCGCAGAGGGUGUCAGGACCGUGCUGAGCCUCAUCAAGCAGUCAUCAAAGCUGUGUGUCUACUGGAUAGUCAAUUACAACUUCGAGAAUGUAACAGUUCGCAACACUCUUCUGUGCCAACUCAGGUCCCAAAGACCAGUCAUCUUGGAUCCAACUGACCCAACCAAUAAUGUGGGCAAAGACGACGGCUCCUGGGAGAUGCUGACAGAGGCGGCUCUGGCCUGGCUGUACUCUCCCAGCCUGAAUGAUAUGCCACCUGCACCAUGCUGGAAUGUUCUGCCCACAUCACUCUUCAUCACCCCAAGCCAUUUACUGGACAAAUUUAUCAAAGACUUCCUCCAGCCCAAUGAAAAGUUCUUGGACAAUAUCGGAAAAGCUGUUUACAUCAUCUGUGAAUUCCUCAAAAACAACUGCUUCAAGGACUCAAGCACCAAAGUGCAGAAGGUCGUCAAGGGAGGAUCCACUGCCAAAGGCACGGCUCUGAAGUAUGGAUCAGAUGCUGAUAUCGUAGUGUUUCUCAGUCCUCUGAAGAAUUUCGACUCCCAAAAAGAGGAGCGCUCACUGUUCGUCCAGGAAAUCCAGAGGCAAUUAGAAAUCUUCCAAAAGACCCAGGAGCUGGAGGUGAAGUUUGAGAUUUCAAAAAGGACGGCCCCCAGGGUGCUGAGCUUCACCUUGAAAUCCAGGAGUCUCAGCGAAAGUGUCGACUUUGAUGUCCUGCCCGCCUAUGACGCACUAGGUCAGCUGCAUCCUGGCUUCACCUCCAGACCCAAAGCCUACAAGGAGCUCAUUGCAUUAUGGAAAUCAUCAGGCUUCGAGGAGGGAGAGUUUUCCACCUGUUUUACAGAGCUACAGCGUGACUUUAUUGAACCCCAACCCACCAAACUGAAGAGUCUGAUUCGCUUGGUCAAGCACUGGUACAAACAGUGUAAAAGGAAAAUGAAGCCAAAACCAUCCUUGCCAAAACCAUCCUUGCCAAAAGCAUCCUUGCCCCCGAAGUACGCCCUGGAGCUUCUCACCGUGUACGCCUGGGAGCAGGGCAGCGGCAUGGAGGAUUUCGACACUGCUGAAGGCUUCCGGACGGUCCUGGACCUGGUCAUCAAAUACCAGCAGCUCUGCAUCUUCUGGACAGUCAACUACAACUUUGAAGAUGAGCUGAUAAGGACGUUCCUACUGGCUCAGAUCCAGAAAAAGAGACCAGUAAUCCUGGAUCCAGCUGAUCCCACAGGCGAUGUGGGAGGAGGUGACCUCUGGCAUUGGCAUCUUCUAGCCAAAGAAGCAAAUGAGUGGCUGUCCUCCUCCUGUUUUGAACUGCCAAGUGGAGACUCGGGGCAGAGAGUGCAGCCGUGGAAAGUGCCAGUAAGNGUGCCCUGAAGAAAGUGGGUGGCGCUGUCACAAAUCCAGUCAGAGGGCUUUCUUGCCAUAGUGAUUUGGAAUUACUGAGCCCCACAAAGAACAAAAACUGGACUCCAGGAGUUCUUUCAGUCAGUCAUCUGCCCUGCUCCGGGGACCUAAAGACCCAGACAACUGAGAGUCGGGAUGGUAGUACAGACCCCAGGAAGCUGUGGAGCUCAAAUCUACCCCACUGUGGGUAUCUGAGUUGGAGUCCAUCUCUGGGAUGAAAAUGCUAGAUGAAGCCUCUAGAGCCGGCUGGCAAUUGAGGCCCCCACCUCUCUCCUGCACUCCUGGAAGGCUCUGCUUGAAAUCAAGACUUCGGAUCUGCUCCUCCUCCCACCCCAGGGUCUCACAUUAUGGUCACCCCUCUGUGCAAGUGAACUUCAGAGAUACUUGCCUCUAUGCAGCGUGCUGUGUUCCCAUUCUAUUAUGGUGUUGGGUUUGUUGGUAUUUUUUUUCCUGUUUCCUUCUCUCCAGGCCUCUCUUCAGCUCAGGACUCAUUCUGUGUCACCAAGGUUGAGCCCCUCCCUUGCCCUUCAUUUCCAGCAGUCCCAGUUAGCUCUCAGUCUCUCACUGCGUCUUUGCUGAGCUCUUCCCUCCACCCACAGGCCUUCCCUGCCUGUGUGGAUGCAGAGGUGUCCAGCCCAGCAGACAGCCAACCCUCUCCCUCCACCCCUGCUUUUAAAACCCCUUCUCUUGGGGAAAUGUAAACAACAUGUACCCCUCCUCCUAAGGUCCCUGGACAAACCAAGGUGUGAGGAACCAAGGAAUUCAUUGGGUUUGCCUGCAGCAUGUGGGUGAGGGGUCACGGGCGGGGCUGAGGUGACUCUAACUCUGCUGCACUGGAAUGUCCACAGCCACCAUGAGUGGUGGCUUCCCCAGGGCUGCCUGGAGGGCACCCUAUCCCUUCAUCUUUCCCCUUAUAUCCUCUAACCCCUCCCAGAGACCACGUGUAAAUAGGGCAGAGCAGCAUACAGCUGGUUGAAACUGGUUGCUGAAUUCUCAAACAAGAGUCCUUAACCUUCCCACACCCCUCUUCCAAGGGGGAAGACAAACCGUCAGCAGGCCCAGCUGUGAUGUUCUCGGAUGAGCCGGCUCAGGUCGACCCCUGAAGAUGGUGGUAGUUUGUCUCAGAGGGUAGUCCUAUACAAAACUUCACACACCAAGGCUGGGUGAUACCUCCUGCCUUAGCCUUGAGAGUUGCGCUUACCUUCUUGGCUGUCCAGGGCCCUCAUCCCAGCAUUUCAACUCCAUUGGUGCAUAAGGGCUUAGCCCCAUGCAUCCUCACACAAGGCUGUCCCUUCUCUCCCUGGCUCUGACACACUGAGGGCCAGGCCGGCCCCUGUAUCACUUCUCGUCAUAGAACCGCAGCACCCAGGGCGUUUACUUCUGUAGGACUCCUUUGUCAUCUCUAGAUAUAAGCUAUUGAGGUGACUCAAGUUGGGCCCUCAGAGAGUUUCAAGGAAGGGGCUUGCCCAGGAAGGAACCCCAGACAAGUGACUAGAGGGCCAGAAUAUGAGAUGUGGUCCCUCUACAGGGAAGGGGUGGGGCUAGAGGUCAAGCCUAUGACCAAUGAUGGGACCAGGCACCCCUAAGUGUUGAGACCCCAUCAACGUCUUUGGAUAAGGAGGUUCUAGAAGUUGCCCCAUCAAGAAACAUCCCAUUGUAUCAAGAAAGGUAACGUCAUGCCUCCGUGGGGAUAGAUGCUCCUGGGUCUAUCAACUCCCUGGACUUCUACACUACAUAUCACAUUUGGCUAUUCAUUUCUAUGCUUUAUAAUAAACAGUGACCUUGAGUGCA